AGGAUGAACGCUAGCUACAGGCUUAACACAUGCAAGUCGAGGGGCAGCACGGUCUUAGCUUGCUAAGGCCGAUGGCGACCGGCGCACGGGUGAGUAACACGUAUCCAACCUGCCGUCUACUCUUGGACAGCCUUCUGAAAGGAAGAUUAAUACAAGAUGGCAUCAUGAGUCCGCAUGUUCACAUGAUUAAAGGUAUUCCGGUAGACGAUGGGGAUGCGUUCCAUUAGAUAGUAGGCGGGGUAACGGCCCACCUAGUCUUCGAUGGAUAGGGGUUCUGAGAGGAAGGUCCCCCACAUUGGAACUGAGACACGGUCCAAACUCCUACGGGAGGCAGCAGUGAGGAAUAUUGGUCAAUGGGCGAGAGCCUGAACCAGCCAAGUAGCGUGAAGGAUGACUGCCCUAUGGGUUGUAAACUUCUUUUAUAAAGGAAUAAAGUCGGGUAUGGAUACCCGUUUGCAUGUACUUUAUGAAUAAGGAUCGGCUAACUCCGUGCCAGCAGCCGCGGUAAUACGGAGGAUCCGAGCGUUAUCCGGAUUUAUUGGGUUUAAAGGGAGCGUAGAUGGAUGUUUAAGUCAGUUGUGAAAGUUUGCGGCUCAACCGUAAAAUUGCAGUUGAUACUGGAUAUCUUGAGUGCAGUUGAGGCAGGCGGAAUUCGUGGUGUAGCGGUGAAAUGCUUAGAUAUCACGAAGAACUCCGAUUGCGAAGGCAGCCUGCUAAGCUGCAACUGACAUUGAGGCUCGAAAGUGUGGGUAUCAAACAGGAUUAGAUACCCUGGUAGUCCACACGGUAAACGAUGAAUACUCGCUGUUUGCGAUAUACUGCAAGCGGCCAAGCGAAAGCGUUAAGUAUUCCACCUGGGGAGUACGCCGGCAACGGUGAAACUCAAAGGAAUUGACGGGGGCCCGCACAAGCGGAGGAACAUGUGGUUUAAUUCGAUGAUACGCGAGGAACCUUACCCGGGCUUAAAUUGCAGAUGAAUUACGGUGAAAGCCGUAAGCCGCAAGGCAUCUGUGAAGGUGCUGCAUGGUUGUCGUCAGCUCGUGCCGUGAGGUGUCGGCUUAAGUGCCAUAACGAGCGCAACCCUUGUUGUCAGUUACUAACAGGUUCCGCUGAGGACUCUGACAAGACUGCCAUCGUAAGAUGUGAGGAAGGUGGGGAUGACGUCAAAUCAGCACGGCCCUUACGUCCGGGGCUACACACGUGUUACAAUGGGGGGUACAGAGGGCCGCUACCACGCGAGUGGAUGCCAAUCCCCAAAACCUCCCUCAGUUCGGACUGGAGUCUGCAACCCGACUCCACGAAGCUGGAUUCGCUAGUAAUCGCGCAUCAGCCACGGCGCGGUGAAUACGUUCCCGGGCCUUGUACACACCGCCCGUCAAGCCAUGGGAGCCGGGGGUACCUGAAGUGCGUAACCGCGAGGAGCGCCCUAGGGU
rnacentral:rRNA from 1 species